GAUUGUUCACAGUCAGUUACAGUUUGAACUCCUUCUACUUUCCCCCUUCUCACUACUGCACUUGACUAGUCUUAA
rnacentral:sRNA from 1 species